CAGGACGGUGGUCAUGGA
rnacentral:snRNA from 1 species